GUUGUGGGGCAUGCUCCCAGGCUGCUGGUGCUUCUCCAGGGGCCCCAGAUCAGAUUCCAGUAGAUGGAGGAAAGAAACAGUCUGAUCCCAAGCUGGCAGGAUAGGUCUGUCCAGGCUGUUGUCUGCCCAUCACAGCUGCCUGUGAGGCCUAUAGGUUAAUAAUAGCAACUCUGAUGCCAGUGGAUUAAGACAGCACUGUAGGAGGUGUUUAUUUUUACACGCUGGCGUCAGUAUCAAGUUCUACUGGUUACUGCCCAAAUCUAGGGCAGCUUCCUGCUACAGGAGUGGCCUCAGGCUUCUCCAGGAUGCUAAGUUGGAUUCUGGAGGAAACAAGCCUUGUUGAAACAGUUUAGUAUCAAUAGGGACAGGGAAAGGGAAAAAGGAACAAACAGAGCUGUCAUAUGUCCAGCUGUCUGGUCCCAAAUCUUCGGAACCAGGUGGACCUCAAUUGAGAGCUGUUGUUCAUGGCAUUUUCCUGAGUCAGGUAGGAAUGCUGAAGUGCAAAGAAAGCAGCCAAGCACACAAUAACAGUGACGCCAUCAUCUUCCUGCCUAAGGCUGACUCAUAACCAUCAUCAGAGACACAAAAUAUCAACAUCUCGAGGAGCAGGAAGGUCACAGUGGCCAUGUUGGGAAGUGAACCUGGUCUGUGAUUGGAGUUGUAAAGUGGCUCUGUCCCAGAAAACAUCCUGAGAGCGGGACUUCACUGGUGGUGCACUGGUUAAGAAUCCACCUGCCAAUGCAGGGGACACGGGUUCGAGCCCCGGUCCGGAAGAUCCCACAUGUCGCAGAGCAAUGAACCCUGUGUGCCACAACUACUGAGCCUGCGCUCUAGAGCCCACAAGCCACAACUACUGAGUCUGUGUGCUUAGAGCCCCUGCUCUGCAAGAAGAGAAGCCACUGCAAUGAGAAGCCCGUGCACCGCAACAAAGAGUAGCCCCCGCUCCCCGCAACUAGAGAAAGCCUGCACCCAGCAACAAAGACCCAACA